rnacentral:rRNA from 1 species
UGGGGAAUUUUGCACAAUGGGCGGAAGCCUGAUGCAGCGACGCCGCGUGAGGGAUGACGGCUUUCGGGUUGUAAACCUCUUUUAUCCACCACGAAGGCUCCGUAUUUGCGGGGUUGACGGUAGUGGUUGAAUAAGCGCCGGCUAACUACGUGCCAGCAGCCGCGGUAAGACGUAGGGCGCGAGCGUUGUCCGGAUUUAUUGGGCGUAAAGGGCUCGUAGGCGGUUGAUUGCGUCCGCCGUGAAAGGCCUCGGCUUAACCGGGGUUUUGCGGUGGAUACGGGUCGACUUGAGGCAAUUAGGGGAGAUCGGAAUUCUACGUGUAGCGGUGAAAUGCGCAGAUAUGUGGAGGAACACCGGUGGCGAAGGCGGAUCUCUGGGAUUGUUCUGACGCUGAGGAGCGAAAGCGUGGGGAGCGAACA